AGUGAGUGUGGAUUUGGCGGGGUUCCGGGGUCCCGACGGCGACCUCGGCAACUCCUCACUCACCGU
ensembl:miRNA